UAGCGGAGGAAAAGAAACCAACAGUGGUCACUGCAUGCCUCAGUAGCGGCGAGUGAAGCGGCAAGAGCUCAGAUUUGAAAUCGUGUUUCGGCACGAGUUGUAGAGUGUAGGCGGGAGUCUCUGCGGAGCGCGGCGUCCAAGUCCCUUGGAACAGGGUGCCUUAGAGGGUGAGAGCCCCGUGGGGUGCUGCGCGAAGCUUUGAGGCCCUGCUGACGAGUCGAGUUGUUUGGGAAUGCAGCUCUAAGCGGGUGGUAAAUUCCAUCUAAGGCUAAAUAUUGGCGAGAGACCGAUAGCGAACAAGUACUGUGAAGGAAAGAUGAAAAGCACUUUGAAAAGAGAGUGAAACAGCACGUGAAAUUGUUGAAAGGGAAGGGUAUUGGGCCCGACAUGGGGAGUGCGCACCGCUGUCUCUUGUAGGCGGCGCUCUGGGCGCUCUCUGGGCCAGCAUCGGUUCCCGCUGCGAGAGAAUGGGUGCCGGAAAGUGGCUCUUCGGAGUGUUAUAGCCGGCGCCAGAUGUCGCGUGUGGGGACCGAGGACUGCGGCUUCUGUCUCGGAUGCUGGCACAUCGGCGCAGAUACCGCCCGUCUU
rnacentral:rRNA from 1 species